CAGUGAAAGACGGUCUUGCUGUCACUUAUAGAUGGACCCGCGCCGUAUUAGCUAGUUGGUGGGGUAACGGCCUACCAAGGCGACGAUACGUAGCCGACCUGAGAGGGUGAUCGCCACACUGGAACUGAGCACGGUCCAGACUCCUACGGGAGGCAGCAGUAGGGAAUCUUCCGCAAUGGGCGAAAGCCUGACGGAGCAACGCCGCGUGAGUGAUGAAGGUCUUCGGAUCGUAAAGCUCUGUUGUUAGGAAGAACAAAUGUGUAAGUAACUGUGCACAUCUUGACGGUACUAACCAGAAAGCCACGGCUAACUACGUGCCAGCAGCCGCGGUAAUACGUAGGUGGCAAGCGUUAUCCGGAAUUAUUGGGCGUAAAGCGCGCGUAGGCGGUUUUUUAAGUCUGAUGUGAAAGCCCACGGCUCAACCGUGGAGGGUCAUUGGAAACUGGAAAACUUGAGUGCAGAGGAAAGUGGAAUUCCAUGUGUAGCGGUGAAAUGCGCAGAGAUAUGGAGGAACACCAGUGGCGAAGGCGGCUUUCUGGUCUGCAACUGACGCUGAUGUGCGAAAGCGUGGGGAUCAAACAGAUUAGAUACCCUGGUAGUCCCGCCGUAAACGAUGAGUGCUAGUGUUAGGGGGUUUCCGCCCCUUAGUGCUGCAGCUAACGCAUUAAGCACUCCGCCUGGGGAGUACGGUCGCAAGACUGAAACUCAAAGGAAUUGACGGGACCCGCACAAGCGGUGGAGCAUGUGGUUUAAUUCGAAGCAACGCGAAGAACCUUACCAAAUCUUGACAUCCUUUGACCGCUCUAAGAUAGAGUUUUCCUCUUCGGAGGACAAAGUGACAGGUGGUGCAUGGUUGUCGUCAGCUCGUGUCGUGAGAUGUUGGGUUAAGUCCCGCAACGAGCCAACCCUUGAACUUAGUUGCCAUCAUUCAGUUGGGCACUCUAAGUUACUGCCGGUGACAAACCGGAGGAAGGUGGGGAUGACGUCAAAUCAUCAU
rnacentral:rRNA from 1 species